UACGAAGGGGGCUAGCGUUGCUCGGAAUCACUGGGCGUAAAGCGCACGUAGGCGGAUUCCUAAGUCGGGGGUGAAAUCCUGGAGCUUAACUCCAGAACUGCCUUCGAUACUGGGAAUCUUGAGUACGGAAGAGGUGAGUGGAACUGCGAGUGUAGAGGUGAAAUUCGUAGAUAUUCGCAAGAACACCAGUGGCGAAGGCGGCUCGCUGGUCCGGUACUGACGCUGAGGUGCGAAAGCGUGGGGAGCAAACAGG
rnacentral:rRNA from 1 species